rnacentral:rRNA from 1 species
UACGUAGGGAGCAAGCGUUGUCCGGAAUCAUUGGGCGUAAAGCGCGCGUAGGUGGUCCCGUAAGUCCGCUGUGAAAGUCAAAGGCUCAACCUUUGAAAGCCGGUGGAUACUGUGGGACUAGAGUACGGAAGAGGCGAGUGGAAUUCCUGGUGUAGCGGUGGAAUGCGCAGAUAUCAGGAGGAACACCAAUAGCGAAGGCAGCUCGCUGGGACGUUACUGACGCUGAGGCGCGAAAGCGUGGGAGCGAACAGG